rnacentral:rRNA from 1 species
UGUCUACAAGAGACAAAGCUCAACAGCGUCGACAAAUUCGUCACUACCUUUCUACGUGGCAAUAGACUUCAAAGUUUUGCACAACACCCAACGUUAGGGACUAGGGGAGGAAUUCUACUCCUAUGGGAUGACAAUGUUCUUGACAUCUCUGAUAUCACCGCAUCGACCUAUUGCCUCUCUGGCAUGGUCCGCAUCCAUGCAACCGACGUCUGCUUUAUGGUCACGUCUGUAUAUGGGCCAACUAAUCACGCUUGCAAAGAUGCUUUCUUUGCCGAGCUCAUCUCCCACAAGCCUCCCAAUGAUUGCUGGCUAGAACUUGGUGAUUUCAACCAAAUUUACCGCGCACGAGACAGAAACAAGAGAAAUUUUAACCGGAGUCGGAUCAAUCGGUUCUGGGUUGCAUUGCAAUCUUGUGAGCUUAAAGAAAUUCACCUGCAGAAUAGGCGCUUCACUUGGAGUAAUGAGUGGGACAACCCAACUCUUUGCAAGCUUGACUCCUUCUUCUGUAAUGUGGAAUGGGAUAUGGCCUUCAACACCCAUGUGCUUCAUGCUUUAUUGUCUUCCCUCUCCGACCAUUGCCCCCUCCUGCUUGUGGAUGACAAAGGGCCUAGAAGGCCAAGAUCUUUUAAGUUCGAGCACUUCUGGACUUCUUUGCCUGGCUUUUCCGAGGUGGUGCAAAAGGCAUGGGGUGAGCAUGUUGGGCACUCGGAGCCAUACCAAGUUCUAUACCACAAGCUCAAAAAAACCGCGACCCGGCUUACUGAGUGGAGCAAGAACCUAUUCUCCAAGGCAAAGGUCCAACUCCAUGCUGCCCUACUUGUGAUUCUUCACCUCAACAUUGCACAAGAGGCACGGGUCCUCUCUCCAGAGGAACGUGACAUAUGCUCGAGGCUCAAGCGGAGGGUGAUCAGUUUGGCGGUACUUGAGAGGACUAGGAAGAGCCAAUGUGCUUGGUUAGCCAACUUGAGGCAUGGGGAUGCAAACACAAAAUUCUUCCAUCGCCGCAUCAAUGCCAGAAGAAGGAAGAAUCACAUUCACCGGAUCAAACAUGCGCAUGGGUGGGUGACUGAGCACAAGGAAAAAGACAAGAUCAUCCAUGACCACUUCUCUGAGGUUAUGAGUAGGGGACGUAGUAGCAACAAAGACUUCAACUGGGAGGAGCUUGGGGUAGAGACCCAUGACUUUCAUGACCUGGGUAACACCAUCACGGAAGAUGAGGUUUGGGCGGCCAAAAAAUAG